AGAGUUUGAUCCUGGCUCAGAACGAACGCUGGCGGCAGGCCUAACACAUGCAAGUCGAGCGCACUCUUCGGAGUGAGCGGCGGACGGGUUAGUAACGCGUGGGAAUAUACCCUUCUCUAAGGAAUAGCCUCGGGAAACUGAGAGUAAUACCUUAUACGCCCUUCGGGGGAAAGAUUUAUCGGAGAGGGAUUAGCCCGCGUAAGAUUAGAUAGUUGGUGGGGUAAUGGCCUACCAAGUCUACGAUCUUUAGCUGGUUUUAGAGGAUGAUCAGCAACACUGGGACUGAGACACGGCCCAGACUCCUACGGGAGGCAGCAGUGGGGAAUCUUGGACAAUGGGCGCAAGCCUGAUCCAGCCAUGCCGCGUGAGUGAUGAAGGCCUUAGGGUCGUAAAGCUCUUUCGCCAGGGAUGAUAAUGACAGUACCUGUAAAGAAACCCCGCUAACU
rnacentral:rRNA from 1 species